rnacentral:tRNA from 1 species
AGAGUAUAGCUCAGUGGUAGAGUGCAUGCUUAGCAUGCACAAGGUCCUGGGCUCAAUCCCCAGUACCUCUG